rnacentral:tRNA from 1 species
GAGCGUGUAACUCAGUGGUAGAGUAUCCGACUUUUAAUCGGGUUGCCGUGGGUUCGAGCCCCACCACGCUCACCA